rnacentral:rRNA from 1 species
CGCGUAGGCGGUGUCGUAAGUCGGAUGUGAAAUCCCCCGGCUCAACCGAGGAAUUGCAUCCGAAACUGCGGUACUAGAGUGUGGGAGGGGGGAGUGGAAUUCCUGGUGGAGCGGUGAAAUGCGUAGAUAUCAGGAGGAACGCCGGUGGCGAAGGCGACUCUCUGGCCCACAACUGACGCUGAGUGCGCGAAAGCUAGGGGAGCAAACA